CAUCAUUCUUUCCCAUUUGUAAAAUGUAGUUGUCAGUUUGAAUUAGUUUUCACAUGGCAACAUUAACAAAUUAUUAUUGAUAUAGGCUUUUCAAUUUGCUCAAGAUUAUGAAUCGUAAGUGGAAUGAAGCAGCAUUUCCAGUUGACAAACGGAUCUGCAGGAAAAGGAAGAAAGGGGAUGCAUUUAGGCUGAAGUCCCCCAAAGACCCUGAGCUAGUGUACAUACAAUAUGGCACCUAUUUUAUAAAUCAUGUUUGCACUGCA